rnacentral:misc_RNA from 1 species
AACCAUAGAAACCUGCGGAGUACCUGCGGAGGGAUCAUUAUCGAGGAAGGGUCUCCUUGGCCCGACCCCCAAACCCUUGUAACUAAAUACCACGUUGCUUUGGCCAGCAUCUUACCCGUGCCGGCCAGAAGCCUUUUUAAAAAAAAUCCUUUUGAAUCGUGUCUGAGGAGAUGGAUGAAAAUUAAAAACUUUUAACAACGGAUCU